rnacentral:rRNA from 2 species
AUGAUUACCCUGAACGGUGGACCACUAGGCUCGUGGGUCGAUGAAGAACGCAGCUAAUUGCGCGUCAACUU